UCACAGUAAAAUAAAAUCACCAUGUUUCUUCUGAUGAAUCCGGAAAGAGAGUUGCUGUAACAAACCUUCGCCAGGGUUUCGUAGUCCAGCUCUGUUUGUAGCUCCACCCCUCCUGUGGUACUAUGAGAUGGCAGCCAA